AUCAACUUUCGAUGGUAGGAUAGAGGCCUACCAUGGUGGUAACGGGUAACGGGGUGUUAGGGCACGACACCGGAGAGGGAGCCUGAGAAACGGCUACCACAUCCAAGGAUGGCAGCAGGCGCGCAAAUUACCCAAUCCCGACACGGGGAGGUAGUGACAAUAAAUAACAAUACGGGGUUCUUUCGGAUCUCGUAAUUGGAAUGAGUACAAUUUAAAUCUCUUAACGAGGAACAAUUGGAGGGCAAGUCUGGUGCCAGCAGCCGCGGUAAUUCCAGCUCCAAUAGCGUAUAUUAAAGUUGUUGCAGUUAAAAAGCUCGUAGUUGAAUUUCGGGGUUAAUAAGUUGGUCGUGCCAAUGGUAUGUACUGGCUUUAUUGAUUCCUACUUCUUGAAGAACUGUGAUGCCAUUAAUUUGGUGUUGCAGGGAAUCAGGACUGUUACCUUGAAAAAAUUAGAGUGUUUAAAGCAGGCUUACGCUUGAAUACAUUAGCAUGGAAUAAUGAAAUAGGACGUUUGAACCUAUUUUGUUGGUUUCUAGGAUCGACGUAAUGAUUAAUAGGGAUAGUUGGGGGCAUUAGUAUUCAAUUGUCAGAGGUGAAAUUCUUGGAUUUAUUGAAGACUAACUACUGCGAAAGCAUUUGCCAAGGAUGUUUUCAUUAAUCAAGAACGAAAGUUAGGGGAUCGAAGACGAUCAGAUACCGUCGUAGUCUUAACCAUAAACUAUGCCGACUAGGGAUCGGAUGAUGUUAAUUUUCUAAUGACUCAUUCGGCGCCUUACGGGAAACCAAAGUGUUUGGGUUC
rnacentral:rRNA from 1 species